AAAGGGAGCAAUCCUAAGUAAAGUGGCGUACGGGUGAGUAACACGUGGAUCAUCUACCUUUUNGGCGGGGAAUACCUCUUGGAAACGGGAGACAAUACCGCAUAAGCUCGAAAGAGGAAAGCAGCAAUGCACCGAAAGAGGAGUCCGCGGUCGAUUAGCUAGAUGGUGAGGUAAUGGCUCACCAUGGCGAAGAUCGAUAGCCGGCCUGAGAGGGCUCACGGCCACACUGGCACUGAAACACGGGCCAGACUCCUACGGGAGGCAGCAGUGGGGAAUCUUGCACAAUGGAGGAAACUCUGAUGCAGCGACGCCGCGUGAGUGAUGAAGGCCUUCGGGUCGUAAAGCUCUGUUGUAAGGGAAGAAUGUGCCAUUGGCUAAUAUCCAAUGGUAGUGACUGUACCUUAUAAGAAAGCACCGGCUAACUUCGUGCCAGCAGCCGCGGUAAGACGGGGGGUGCAAGCGUUGUUCGGAAUCAUUGGGCGUAAAGGGCGUGCAGGUGGCUUUAUAAGUCAGAUGUGAA
rnacentral:rRNA from 1 species